GAGGGUACAGCUCAGUGGUAGAGCGCAUGCUUAGCAUGCACAAGGUCCUGGGUUCAAUCCCCAGUAUCCCCU
rfam:Camelus ferus unplaced genomic scaffold scaffold859, whole genome shotgun sequence.